ACUGACGACACAAGGGGUGGGCAGUUUCUUCCAGCGAGCUGAGUUCAUUGGCUCCUAAGGAGCUGCCGCUCAUCGCCAAAGGAACGCUGAUAGGCUCGCCCCGUGGAAAGAGGCGGGAUCUUUGGGGCCCUAACAGUGCCAGUUCUAAAACUAAACAACUGCCUCCUUCAGCUCCUGCUGUUCAGAGAGGUCUCUUCUCGCACUGCCAGAGCAACCAAGAUUUUAAUUUGACCGUGGUUAAAUGACCCAUUUGGACCAGGCCAGCCAGGCAGGAUGGGAGAGCGCCAUGGGGGUUCUGAAAGUACCCUCAAGAACACUGGGAAGUGCCCCCCCCCACAUCUGAGGCCACCUUUGACCUUCCAAAUGAUGAAGACUUAUUGCUGAGCUGCAUCUUGAGAGGCACAGACAGAAGACCAGAGACAUCCGCUCCCAAAGGCAAUUUAAGGCCUCUGGUCCUACCAGGCCAGGCUGAUCAGAGGGCUGGUAUCACUUCCCUUCUUCUCUGCCAAUGAUAUCUGUUAUUUGGAAAAAGAAAAAAAAAAAAAAAGAAAAAGGAAAAUGAGGCACUGGGCUCCUCUCAUUUUAAGGUCACCUCAAAGUGGCCAAGGAUACUGCGUUGUGAAGUUUUCUCCCCCACUGAACAGGACUGACGUGUAACAAAUAGGAUAUUGUAGAAAUGAGAGUGUGAGUUGCAAGGUUAAGUCCUAACACUGCAGUUUCCAACUUGUCCUCUCUUGGAUCACCCAUUCUGGGGGAAGCCUGUUCCCAUGUCCUAAAGACACUCAAGCAGCCCUAUUGAAGAGAGGUCCAUCUGGUGAAAGAACUAAGGCCACCUGCCAACAACCAGCACCAACUUGCAAGAUGGGCAGCUGAAUCACCUUGGAAAGUAAAUCUUCCAGUCCCAAUGAAGCAUUCAGGGAACUGCAGCCUCAGUCAACAUCUUGACUACAACCUUAUAUGAGAAAUCCAGAGACAGAAUUAUGCCAGCUAAACCACCACCGAAUUCCUGACCCUCAGAAACUUCCUGAAGUAAUACACAUAUUAUUUUAAACCACAAAGUUUUGGGGCAAUUUGUUAUGUGGCAAUAGAUAAAAUUGCAAACAACUACAUACCUACUACCAGCUUGUCAUAUUAGCAUUUGGUUUAUUUAUUACAGAUUUUUAAUUUUCUUUUUUAACAUUUUUAAUCAAUUUUUUUUGUUUUUUUAUUUAUUUUGAGACAGAGACAGGGUGAAUGGGAGAGUGGCAGAGAGAGAGGGAGAGAGAGAAUCCUAAGCAGGCCCAUGCUGUUA